rnacentral:lncRNA from 1 species
AAUUAGGGUUUGUAUAUGGUGGACAAAGAGGUUAAUGUCAGUUGCUUGAAAAGCUAAAAAAGGAAUUAAGUCGUGAAGGUCAUUUCCUUCUUUGUUAAGAGGAGUACAUCAUUAAAUUGAAGGUAUGAGAUCUGGAUUUCAGAUUUUUCGCAGCUCUAUUAAUGGUGUGCAGACUAAAUUUUUAUUGUGAAGGGGGCAAAUUGUCAAGAAAUUUAUAACGAGAUGUUAAGAUUAUGCUCGUUAGCAGCUUCU